rnacentral:rRNA from 1 species
GACGAACGCUGGCGGCGUGCUUAACACAUGCAAGUCGAACGGAAAGGCCCUGCUUUUGUGGGGUGCUCGAGUGGCGAACGGGUGAGUAACACGUGAGUAACCUGCCCUUGACUUUGGGAUAACUUCAGGAAACUGGGGCUAAUACCGGAUAGGAGCUCCUGCUGCAUGGUGGGGGUUGGAAAGUUUCGGCGGUUGGGGAUGGACUCGCGGCUUAUCCGCUUGUUGGUGGGGUAGUGGCUUACCAAGGCUUUGAAGGGUAGCCGGCCUGAGAGGGUGACCGGCCACAUUGGGACUGAGAGACGGACCAGACUCCUACGGGAGGCAGCAGUGGGGAAUAUUGCACAAUGGGCGGAAGCCUGAUGCAGCAACGCCGCGUGCGGGAUGACGGCCUUCGGGUUGUAAACCGCUUUCGCCUGUGACGAAGCGUGAGUGACGGUAAUGGGUAAAGAAGCACCGGCUAACUACGUG